rnacentral:rRNA from 1 species
CCUACGGGGGGCAGCAGUGGGGAAUAUUGGUCAAUGGGCGCGAGCCUGAACCAGCCAAGUAGCGUGAAGGAUGACUGCCCUACGGGUUGUAAACUUCUUUUAUAAAGGAAUAAAGUGAUGCACGUGUACCUUUUUGUAUGUACUUUAUGAAUAAGGAUCGGCUAACUCCGUGCCAGCAGCCGCGGUAAUACGGAGGAUCCGAGCGUUAUCCGGAUUUAUUGGGUUUAAAGGGGGCGUAGAUGGGUUGUUAAGUCAGUUGUGAAAGUUUGCGGCUCAACCGUAAAAUUGCAAUUGAUACUGGCAGCCUUGAGUACAGGUGAGGUAGGCGGAAUUCGUGGUGUAGCGGUGAAAUGCUUAGAUAUCACGAAGAACUCCGAUUGCGAAGGCAGGUUACUAAACUGCCACUGACAUUGAUGCUCGAAAGUGUGGGGAUCAAACAGGAUUAGAUACCCCUGUAGUC